AGUUUAUUUCUAGGCUGAGUACAUGGCUAUACUUGGAUCUCCCUUUGCCUUUAUCUCUGGGAUUUCCUUUGCUCUUUCUUGGAUUGACGUUCUCAUUUCCCAGACUCCAUGUCUUCCUCUUUCUUGCUUUGCCUCAUAAUUUUGGACUUACCUAGUAGCUUCUUCUUCUUUUUUUUUUUUUUCCUUUUUCACAUCAGAUGGGAAAUGUGCCAACGUCACAACAAGGUUUGAGGGAGGCACAUCUCAUGCUCGGACAUGAACACCCGAUCAUCAUGCUUAUGAACUACAAAAGGAUCUCCAGUAUGGGCUCACGGCAGCCUAUUCAACGUGAAGAUGACUAAGUUAUCAAGGACUCCGUUCUCCCUCUCCAAGCUGACAAGAAAACUACACCAGGUAAGGAAGACUUCAUUUAAGACUUUUGCAAUAGAGGAUGAAGAUUGAACUCAAUUCUGCUCAAACAAAAGCAGGCUGAUUUUUGAGCACUGGGUGAGCUAGUGGAAAAGUCCUGGAAGACUUUAGCAGGGUGGUUAGUCAAUUUGAUUAGGUCAUCUGUGUUUGCUAACUGUUGCUUGUCUAAGUUAAGCUCCUAUUCUCUCAUAGAAACUGGGAGAUGGGGUCUCUCUCUUUCUUGAUAAUUACAUUUCAAAGGGACAGCUCCCAGGUCCUUGAGAAAGACAUUCUUGGGUUGUAAAACUGGCAGGAGAUUGGGAGAAGAUUUGCAUCUCAAAGAGUCAAGAAAGAAUUUACAAUUAAAAGUUUCCUACCAUAAAUGGUCUAAGAAAAGGAGGUCAGGGGCCUCUAGUCAGGAAGAAAUCUUUCUAAAGUUGAAUCAAGCUGGGGAGAACUUUAGUGGUGUUUUGGUCAUAGCACAAACCUCUUUUAUACUGGCUUUCAUUGUAUUAUAACCAAGUCUUUUGCCUCAUAAAACACAAGCCUCUUAAACAGUAAGUCAUGGCCUGACUGCAUCAAGCUCAGUGCCACGCUCAUUGAAAUACCCAGUAACUGUUUAUUAAAUGAAUAUAUAAAGACUCCAAACACACAUAAUAAAAAGCCCUGGGGUACCUGGCUGUUUACUUCUAUUUCUAUCCUGAAAUGCCUUUUGCUGUAGACUUUAACAGAUGUGAAACUGAAAGGAGAGCUUUCUCUUGUGUAAUUUUUCCUUUCAAGUAAAUCGAAUUGAAAGAGUCUUCCUGAGAGCAAAUGUUAGGAGUUAAUCUUAUUGCGGAUGACAGUUAUGUCUAAAAUGUCUUCUU
rnacentral:lncRNA from 1 species